GCAUAUCAAUAAGCGGAGGAAAAAGAAACUAACAAGGAUUCCCCCUAGUAACUGCGAGUGAAGCGGGAAAAGCUCAAAUUUAAAAUCUGGCGGCUUUGGUCGUCCGAGUUGUAAUCUAGAGAAGUGUCUUCCGCGCUGGACCGUGUAUAAGUCUCUUGGAACAGAGCGUCAUAGAGGGUGAGAAUCCCGUCUUUGACACGGACUACCGGUGCUUUGUGAUGCGCUCUCAAAGAGUCGAGUUGUUUGGGAAUGCAGCUCAAAAUGGGUGGUAAAUUCCAUCUAAAGCUAAAUAUUGGCGAGAGACCGAUAGCGAACAAGUACCGUGAGGGAAAGAUGAAAAGCACUUUGGAAAGAGAGUUAAACAGUACGUGAAAUUGCUGAAAGGGAAACGCUUGAAGUCAGUCGCGUUGUUUAGAACUCAGCCAGGCUUGCUUGGUGCACUUUCUAUUCAACGGGCCAGCAUCAGUUUUGACUGCGGGAAAAAGGCUGGAGAAAUGUGGCACCUUCGGGUGUGUUAUAGUCUCUGGUUGCAUACCGUGGUUGGGACUGAGGCUCUCAGCACGCGCAAGCUGUGCUUAGGAUGCUGGCGUAAUGGCUUUAAACGACCCGUCUUGAAACACGGACCAAGGAGUCUAACAAACCUGCGAGUGUUUGGGUGGUAAACUCGAGCGCGAAAUGAAAGUGAAAGUUGGGAUCCCUGUCGCGGGGAGCACCGACGCCCGGACCAGACCUUCUGUGACGGAUCUGCGGUAGAGCAUGUUUGUUGGGACCCGAAAGAUGGUGAACUAUGCCUGAAUAGGGUGAAGCCAGAGGAAACUCUGGUGGAGGCUCGUAGCGAUUCUGACGUGCAAAUCGAUCGUCAAAUUUGGGUAUAGGGGGCGAAAGACUAAUCGAACCAUCUAGUAGCUGGGUUCCUGCCGAG
rnacentral:rRNA from 1 species